rnacentral:rRNA from 1 species
GGGGUUAACCUUAGUAACACAGCUAACGCGAGAAGUAGACCGCCUGGGGAGUACGGUCGCAAGAUUAAAACUCAAAGGAAUUGACGGGGACCCGCACAAGCGGUGGAUGAUGUGGAUUAAUUCGAUGCAACGCGAAAAACCUUACCUAGCCUUGACAUGCCAAGAAUCCUGAUGAAAGUUGGGAGUGCCCGCAAGGGAAUUUGGACACAGGUGCUGCAUGGCUGUCGUCAGCUCGUGUCGUGAGAUGUUGGGUUAAGUCCCGCAACGAGCGCAACCCUUGUCACUAGUUGCUACGCAAGAGCACUCUAGUGAAACUGCCGGUGACAAACCGGAGGAAGGUGGGGAUGACGUCAAGUCCUCAUGGCCCUUAUGGCUAGGGCCUCACACGUCAUACAAUGGUCGAAACAGAGGGUAGCGAAGCCGCGAGGUGGAGCCAAUCCCAGAAAAUCGAUCGUAGUCCGGAUUGCAGUCUGCAACUCGACUGCAUGAAGUCGGAAUCGCUAGUAAUCGCGGAUCAGCAU